UGAUCACACACCAAGUCACACAGAACAGGCGAACAAUACUAAAAGCCCACCUGAGCUUCUUCACUGGCAGCAAUUCACGGCUGAAAUUUACACCCGUGGAGGUAGGCCAGCAGGUGGGUCCGACAGGAUUCCGGCCGAUGUUUUCAGAGAGAGAGAAUAAUAUAGGAGACACCCGCAGUGCACUACAGAGCAAACCAAAUUUUGCACAAAUCCAUAAUUUGGCCGUUGAGGUCUGCAGUUUUGCAACAUUUAAAGUUCUGUUUCAGUAUUUAGAUUAGGUUCUGAGUGACGGACGGAAGGAAGAAAGGAAGAGAAAGAAAUAGAAAGAAACACUAGUUAUAAGUCUUGUACAUCGACUUUUAAGUCAUUACCUACCAAACUUACUCUGUGCAGGUGCUAACGCCCCUUUUCUCCAAACGAUUCUGUUCCUGACUCGAUGGAGGUCAAACUGCACUUUAUGGCCAGGAGGAAAACAAACUGCAGCUGGACCGAACAGGGAACAGCUCUUCCUGCCUGUCUCGAGAACUUUCAUGGAUUCCCGAAGGGUUUCCAGGAAAGAAGACACGGUCACGUCUCUCCUGCCCAGAAAGUUGGGACCAGAUCCAGCUGGGAGAGGUUGAGAAGGGGGUGCCUCAACCAGAGGACCAAAAUGAGUGGGGAGCCUCCUUUAAAAGAGAGGCCCUGCCCAGCUCUGGAUCAACCCCUGCCCCGCCCAGCUAUGCAAGGAAGGGUCUUGAGUGUGCCUAGCCGGGCCAGCUUAUACGGGUCGGGCCAGCCCAAUUUAGGCACUGAAAAGGAACUCGGGAACAUGUUGCCUACGGCUGGCAUCCUUUGCAGGAAAGCUGGCACAGGAGAUUUUGCAAGAACUUGAAAGCUGCCAUCGUGCAGCCCAGCACUGUCGUCCCUUCCUUUGGCCCACACAGGCUCUGUCACUAGCAGCCAUUUAACCCUCCCGUCUGGGGUCCUGAGACUAGUUUGGUCAAGGAAGUAAACUUUUCCAUUUUGGGAGCGCUCCGUCUUUUCCCCUGAACUACAGCAGAGAACUCUCAAGUAUCUCACCAAAUGAGAAAGGCCAGGAUGCCUUAAGGCAAAUCCAUGGCACUUAUUAAACCCAUUGAAAGCUGUGGUGUUGGUACAACCUCAAGGCAGCGGGGAGAAUUGAAUGCAGCAGGAAAAGAGGAAGACCCCCCAUAAUAGAUGGAUGGACUCCAUCAAGAAAGCCACAGCCUUGAAUUAAGGACAGGAUCUUUUCGAAGUCACUAAUUCCUAGGGUCACCCUAAGGCAGAAAUGGCUUCCUGGCACAUAUCGCCAGCCCAG